GGGGGGGGGGGGGGGGGGGGUUGGGGCGGGCGGGUCGGGCGGGGGCGCGGGCUUCGGCCUGGCGGCGAGGGGCGAACGGGGGCGUCAUGCAUCGGCACGUGCCCAGUAGUGGGGUCUCGCCCGCCGACAGCCGGAUUAAUCCCGCAUCCGCCCUGGUUGUGACAGCGGGGGACCGAAAGGCCUCGCGCUCUAGGCUCUGCCGAUGUCUGAUCAGCUAGUUGGUGGGGUAAAGUCUUACCAAGGCGCCUUUCCGUAGCUGGUCUGCAAGGACGCCCAGCCACACUGGGACUGAGACACGGCCCAGACUCCUACGGGAGGCAGCAGUGGGGAAUUUUGGACAAUGGGGGCAACCCUGAUCCAGCCAUGCCGCGUGCGGGAAAGAGGCCUUCGGGGUGGAAACCGCUUGUGUUCGGGAAGAAAUCCUCUGGGCUAAUACCCCGGGGGGAUGACGGUACCGGAAGAAUAAGCACCGGCUAACUACGUG
rnacentral:rRNA from 1 species